rnacentral:rRNA from 1 species
GAACCGUCCAAACGUUUAUUCGGAAUCACUGGGCUUAAAGGGUGCGUAGGCGGCCCUGCAAGUUGGGUGUGAAAUCCCACGGCUCAACCGUGGAAUUGCGCUCAAAACUGCAGGACUAGAGGGAGAUAGAGGUGAGCGGAACUAAUGGUGGAGCGGUGAAAUGCGUUGAUAUCAUUAGGAACACCGGUGGCGAAAGCGGCUCACUGGAUCUUUUCUGACGCUGAGGCACGAAAGCUAGGGUAGCGAACGGGGGAUUAGAUACCCCGGUAGUCCUAGCUGUAAACGAUGAGCACUGGGUUGGAGGCUCCUCCAUAGGCUUCCGGCCGAAGCGAAAGUGUUAAGUGCUCCGCCUGGGGAGUAUGGUCGCAAGGCUG